AUUUCUCUCAUGUGAAGAAUAAUACUGAGAUCUGCCUACGGAAAACUACGUUCUAGGAGGAAGAAUCACAAAGAACUUUUCUUUUAGACUUUCCUUUAAGAGGUCCACACCAUGAUAAGCAAAAUGAAAUGAAAUGGAAGAUGAAAGGACCCGAAAGGAAAGAAACUAUUCAAACAAGAACCAAAACAUCAGAAAACAAAAAUCAGAAAGCAUCUGCUUUAAUGGAAGUAUGGUUUGAAAGCUUUAUGUUUUUGGUCUGUGUAAACACAUAAGUGUAAGUACAGGGAGAAAAAAAAUAAAAGAGGAUUUAGUCUGAUCAGAAAACUCCUGUGUGAUGCAGUUCCCAUGCACUGGGACUGAAGUUGGACUGGGACUGCAGCAUGUGGUCAGGCUUGCUGUAGCUCAUUGACAGACCCGGUUCCGAGCAUCCAGAUUCCUUUCUCACUUCUCCGUGAACCAUAGCAGGUCUCUGCAGCUAAACAAUUCUCAAAUUAUGGAGUUUGCAUCCUGAUCUGAAUUUUGCAACUCAAGCCUACCUGUGGUUAUGCAGUCAGACAGCAAAGCCAACAAGCCAAGAGCAACGCCUAGUCACUGACUUUGAUCUAGAAAUAGUUAUUAUCCUGCUAUCUACAUUACAAAACAUCCAGUUUGCUAAACCUGGGUUAUCUACUGAUUUGGCUUCAUUUGAUAGACAGGAGCAGUUCCAGCAGGGAGAGCUUCACAUCCUGAAAUGAUGCAUCUUUCAGAAAACUGAUAAGCGAUAAACCUUACAAAACCUGUGAGUGGGAAAUGAUAUUUCUGUCCACCUCCCAGCUGCCUCUCUCCAGUUAAUCCUAAACAGCACCACUGGUGGCCUUUGCAGAUGAGAUGGAGAAGUGGGUGAAUUAAUGCUUCACCAGACCAGAGCUGAGACCCACCAGCAGGCAGCAAGAGGAAGCAGACACUUCUAAUGGGAAGUACAUCACUGUGGUUAUGUAGAGGAUUUCGGUUUCUCAAGCUUAUGCAGACUUUCAGGAGGCAAUUAGGUUCUUCAGCUAAUUAUUGGAUCUUAUAAAUGAUUCUUCAAAAAACAGCUACGAGGAUUAGACUGUGCCUUUAUACGGAGCUCUGAGAAAGGAUUUCCAUGCAGCAAGAGGAGAAUCGCCAUGCGGAUUGCAUUUUCUUCUCUUCGGCGAGGGGAAGGGUCUGCAGCUCAUCUGUAUCAGUUCAUCUUUAUCACCAAGCCAGCUGGACAUAGGACACUUGUUCAUCUGACCACAAGCAUAUCAGGAACUGGGGGCUCGUUUCUAGUAGUAGGUCAGAGGUAACAGCGUUCUCCUGCUGCGUGAGAAACUGUGUGGAUGAAUACAAGUGACACUAAGGGCAGGCAUCGUUCUCAUAAUGCGUGUCUUACAAGUGUUGGAGGUAGUCACUAUAACAACAGCGCCUCAAAUUUGUGUCCACUUGAACUGCUCCGUCUCUGUAAUCGCCGAGCAAGAAUGAGCAGCCAAAGAAGUGCCGAGUUUAUGCAAGCAAAACUGACCCAGCUGAUGCCAAGAGGAGCUGGAGAGCAGCAGCCCGUGCCCCACGCCUGCUCCGCAGAGCCCCGCGGGGAUGGGGCUGCGGUGCCCGGCUCCUGUCUGACUCGUUCUGCUCCCCUCCUGCUCCCUGCCUGCACAGCCGCAAGUUGCAGCUGCAGAAAGUGGGUCCAUCCCGGCUGCUGCAGGAGGCUGAGCUGCGCGCAUGUGUGCGCUCGCACUGCCGGGAAGAGCUCGCCCAGCUGAAGUCCUUGAGCUUUGAGUGAAUGCUAGAAACUGAGAUGACUUAAAUAUUUGGCAGCAGCUAGGAUAAGUUAUCUUUUUUCUUUUAAAAAAUAACAUGUUAUGCAAUCAGGUUUUAUUAUAUUUAUGGGUAUUUAUUCUUUCUGUAGAUGAUAAAAUAAUCUUGGUGAAACCAAUAGGAAUGUAAAUUUAAAAUUUCAGGCUAUUGGUGAAUUAAAUGACACAACAUUUCUUGUAAAAGUUCUAAAAGCACAUAAAAAAAAAAAACUAUAUUUGCACAUCCUGUGGUAAUUAGCACAUGAAUAUUUUCCAUUUUUAGUCUUUGAAAAAAUACUUUUAGAGUGGUUGAAACAAGUACAUAUUUUUCCAGCAUCCUCCACUGCCUUUUCGUAUGAUUGCUGCUCUUAAAUACUUGUAUGCACCUUGGUAUGCAUGUUUGUUGUGCCUGUUAGUUCAGUUUUGUAGAACAAAUGGAGAAAACUAAAAUAUGGAUUUUUAACCACUACAACAUUCCCUGCAGACAGGGCUUUUUGUACUGCCAUAGAAAUGCAGCAGCUCAGAGGAAGAACACAGCAUGUAAUUCUACAUACAUCACAGCCCUUUUUUAUUGCUCUUACCACAUCAGCUGAAUGGAGAAUUAUGAAAACUAUGUCCCUGAUUCUGUAAAGAUUUUAAAAAGAGGCUUAACUUUGGACAUGCAGUUUGCCAUUCAGCCACCAGACCGAAGGGAACACGUUCAUACAGCUCCAACUCGAACAGCUUAACAGCCCUAUUGUUCUCGGUUGACUUCUGUGAAGCUACCGGUGCUGGAGUCAACCACGUGCCUUGGAGUCUCACUGAACCAGCGCCUAAACAAACAAGAGAAAGUCAAAUGGGGAGACGGGCACAGCCCAGCUCCCAGCCCUGGCUUCCUGGCUCAAGACCCUUUUUCUCCUCCAGGUUUGCCCUGCUGAGCUCUCUACAACACAUCAGGCUUAUGGGGAAAGGGUGUGGGCUGAAAGGGGAAUGAUUUUGUUUGCAGCAUUUGGCUUCGACACACUCGGAGUAGUGUGUAAGUGAAAACCAGGGUGUCCGGACAUGUAAAACCCGUAGAAAUGAGAAGGAUGGAACAGCUUGCGGUCUGCUGGAGAAAGAGGCGAACCCAGAGGCUGCUGUGGUAACAUGAUGCUCCACGAAUGAAGAUCUUCUGGUCCCUGUGAUGUUGGCAACAGCACCAGCAAUUCAAACCAAGGCAGUAGGCAGCUUGUGGGGGUGAGGCAGUGAAGAAAAGUGACAUUCUCUAUGGACCUGCUCCAAAGCCCGAUUGUGUCAAUGAAAGGACUCCUAUUGACUUCAGUGUGACUUGGAGUGGUUCCUAAAAAUGGGAACAAAGCAGCAGACUUCAUAAAUCUUCUGAUGUGGUCCUUAAAGCAAGAAUUCAGACCCCAUGGAGCAAAGCAUCUCAAGAAGAAAAAGACAUUAGAGGACGGGAUGGAACCAGAAGUGUCUUGACAGCAACAUUCCUACAGUGUAGCAACCUCUAAAGACGCUGUAUUGGGAUCCCUCUGGGGCAUGAAGCCAUCUCCUGCACCAGCAGUUGUCCUGUCCAUCCAGGCGUGGUUGGGGUCACCCUCCAACAAACGCUUGCCAAGUAUAGGGGAACAAAUUUAAAGCUAAUGCAAGGCAUGUCUCCAGGACAGCGUCCUCUGACUUUGUUUUGUGUCAUAUCAGGCUUCAAGUAUUACAUUGUGUUGUCAUGCCAGGAUAUUUUUAAUGUCCUAGAGACUGAAAACAACAAAAAAAUGUUUUGUCUCUUGGCUGAAGGAUUUGCUCAUAUUUGUUCCAGUCUAAUUUAACUCCAGUUGAAUUCAGAGCAUCCUGUUUCUAGACUCAGCUUAACCUUGGGACAUACAUAUUCUGAUAUGUCUGUUUACUUCAAAUACCAUGCUUUAGCAAAACAGUCAGUGCUUGUAAUAACUGAAUAGCUGCUUCCUUACAAUACCCACUAAAAGACACUGCAAGAAAAAGAGCUCAGAUUCACAGGAUUAAAAACAAAAACAAAAACAAAACUUGCCAAAUUAUGAGUUUUAAAAGUUUACAUGACAUUCUUUGUUAAAGUCAACAGUAAUCAAGUUCAAAGUGG